rnacentral:rRNA from 1 species
GCUAACUCGGUGCCAGCGGCGGCGGUAAGACGGAGGGGGCAAGCGUUAUCCGGAUUUAUUGGGUUUAAAGGGUCCGUAGGCGGAUCUAUAAGUCAGUGGUGAAAUCUCACAGCUUAACUGUGAAACUGCCGUUGAUACUGUAGGUCUUGAGUAAAUUUGAAGUGGCUGGAAUAAGUAGUGUAGCGGUGAAAUGCAUAGAUAUUACUUAGAACACCAAUUGCGAAGGCAGGUCACUAAGAUUUAACUGACGCUGAGGGACGAAAGCGUGGGGAGCGAACAGGAUUAGAUACCCGUGUAGUC